CUUCCUGAUGUUUGUAGAUGAGUGUAAUGACACAUCUCAUCCUCAGAGUCAACAGGUGCGCCGCUCCGCCCCUUUUAAAGAGCCUGUGAGGUGCGGAAGGAGCUGGACAGCUGGACAGGCGGGUCAUUACUAAAGAAUGUUGACCGGUUUUUAAAGAGCUUUUAAUCCGUCCGUCAUUUGGCUUUUUGUGGAUUGGUAAGAUAAUUAAAUACGCACGGUAUACCUUUGCCCGUGCAGGCCCUAUUUGGUGUCCUUUUUAAGUUACCUUUUUUAAUUGAGGUGCACGUCUUUUACUGGGUAUUUACGGCUGUGUGAAAUUCUGGAACUACUUUUAGAUUGUCAUUUCUCACUCUCACACGCACACACACACACCGCAAUAGGGCCGAGUGCGAAAAACGGUCGGUGGAAGGUUCCUUUUUCAGAACGGCACAAGCCGAUCUCAGUUACAUGCUGUGUAUCGACAAAUGAAAACACAGGACGCCACCAUCUCAAAAGCUCAACAGGCCAUCAGUAGUAUUAUACACGGGGAGGAACGUAGCACAUCUCUAAUAAUAACAAAAAGUAAAUCUUAUACCUAUUACUAAAGAAUAUUUUACUCUGAUGUUUGGCUGUAUUUGUUCAGACAUGGUGCCUUUUUCUCCGUCUCUCUUCUGUAUUCAUCUUGUGUCAUAUCAGAUCUUCGUAACAUGAUGCAAAGUAUGGAAUGCCGUUUUAGUCUAAAUUAAAUAAAUGAAUAAAUACAUGAAAUAUGCAUUUGAAAUACAUCAUGAAAUAAACAAAUGAGGCAAAUACAUAAAUAUUAAAUACAUUUAAUUAUUUCAUGGUACUUUUAUUUCAUAAUGCCACUUUUCAUUUCCAGAGUCUUUUAUUUCAUAAUGCCGUUUUUCAUCAAUCAGUCUUAAACAAUUUAAAACUUCGUCGUCUAUGUAUACAUCUUGAAGAGCACUUAUCCGCCCUAGUAUUUCCAAAAAACCCUCAAUAUGUGUCAAAAUUGUAUCUGCAGAAAACCCAUGUUGAUCGGUUUGAUCUGCUAAUGCUAGCAUGCUACCUCGGAGCCCACCGAUGUCUUCCAUUAUGUCAACACUCACGUCCCUUAGCCAGCCUUCUUUUGCACGCGGCUCUGUUGUCUGUUCUCAAUGUUAGAUGUAGCCACGCCCCCUGAUUUGCAUAUAAGAACGUGAAUUGUAAAAGGGCAUUAUGAAAUAAGUCUCUGGAAAUGAAAAGUGGCAUUAUGAAAUAAAAGUACCAUGAAAUAAUUAAAUGUAUUUAAUAUUUAUGUAUUUAUUGCCUUAUUUAUUUCAUGAUGUAUUUCAAAUGCAUAUUUAAUGUAUUUAUUCGUUUAUUUAAUUUUGACUAAAACGGCAUUCCAUAGCAAAGGACAAACUUUUUUUCUUCAGAGUGCACAUUGUUCUUUAAACCUGGGAAGCUUUAGUUCAAAGAGUGAAUGUGAGGAAAUAAGAUGAUGACCUGUUGAAUAAAGUGCAGUUUAGUCAAGUACCACAUGAGGAUGCUGGUGUCGACCGCUGAUGCACAAAACUCUUCUCACGCUGUCCACUUAUGGAUGUGUUCUAUGCUUUGUGUUAUAGUAAUGAAAACCUUAUUAAGGGUCAUAUUCAUAGGCCCCUGAACUCAGCCUUCACAGCUACAUUAAAUAAAAUAUUUAGUUAUUGAGCCCUGAAAGUUUAAACUUUAUUCUAAAAUUCCACAUAUUUUGUAAGACACCGCAGGUAAAUAGGAAGAAAAAAUUGGCCAAAGUCUCGGGGCAUGACAUGUUGGUGAGAAGCUGUAUUUCGGCCGUGCCAAACAGUGGACGGAACAUUCUGCCUUGACUAAAACUCUGGACACACUUUGGAUAAGGGGCCACAAGGUGGCACUCAAAGCACACACAGCACCAGGAAAUGGGAAAUUCAACUACAGGAAUACUGGAAAGAAACAACAGCUGAGAACUAUGAAAAGAAAUACAAGAAUGUGAGUUGAUAUAUUAGCAGAUAAUGGGUGUGACUUCACCAGACGUAAGUUGUGUUGUUCACGUUUUAUUCUCUCGUCCUAUGAGAGACGAUGUGCCUUCUCAAAAAGGUUUGGUGGCUGUGACGACCUCGUGAGCUCGUGCUAUAUGUGCAAGGCCCCAUCCUGACAAAAAAAAAUAAAAAUCCUUAAUGACUGCAGACUGAUGAUGAAUGUCCAUCACAAGAGGAUCAUCUGAGCUUCAUUACAUCACAAACCGCACCUUCUGUCGAAUCAAGUCUCGCCGUCCUAAUAUUAAAACAUUUAUAUUUCGAAAACUGCGCAAAGGACGCGUGUUUCCGUCUUUCCUUGUGUGGCUUGAAGUACACAACUGAGGUAUCUAAACGCAGGAGGCUGUAUACAGCAACCCCAUGGGGUGAAUCCAUGCGCCCCACAGCUGCCUUUCCUUGUAAAUCCUUCCAACAGCAUCAGCACAAUAAAGCCUCAGCUCUGCUCCUUCGUGAGGACUGUGUGUUUUGUGUUUUAUUUUGUGCGUCGGAGGGAGACAAGUCAAGUCGAGACAUGUCGAGUCAUACAUGUCACAGUUUAAAACAACGAGAAGCCCUUCUGUUGGCUAUUGUUCCUCAUGCUUGAGUCCACAGGCUACGUGGAGAAAUAUUAAUAACGACAAUAAUUGCAGAAGUUGCCGUAGGUCAUUUAUGAAGCUAAACCCACAACUACUCCAAACUUAGCAACAUUUUAUCUGGUUUAAGCCUGAUUUCACUCCGUCUCAGCGGCUCAAUGAGAAGUAACAGGCUUUCAGUUAACUCACCUCUCAAACCAGAAGUUGACAGUUUUCCACUCAUGGUUUCUGAAAUGUCACGUGACGUGACGCCAUUGGUAGCUAACGUUACGUUUAAUCCUACUUAAGCCAAACCCUGAUGUUUGACCUUUGCCCCUAUACUUUGAGCGCCAUGGUUUGAAGAUUAUGCACCAACCAAGCUUCAGAAUUUGAUGCAUUGGAGUGAAAAUGGGCGUGAACAACACGUGCGCAAAAUAAUCGGUUAAGUAAGAACAGUAUCACAGCAAUUCAUCUUCAAAGUGUAUUUCUGAGAUGUUUCAGUCAGAACCAAAGUCUUGGAACAACACUGCCAUCCCCAAAUAAAUGAAUGAAUUAUUAAAACUAAUACGAUUCUUUUUCAGAUCCAUAACCCGGUUUU
ensembl:lncRNA